CAGCUGUUAGAGUGUUUGUGUCCCAGAUCUUGAUGGUUCCAUCGAAACUGGCUGUGGCGAGCAGGUUGGGAUCAUCGGGCUUAAACUUGCAGUCGAAGAUGGUUUCUAUGUGGUCCUGAAGAAGAAGCGACACAGUGAGCUGAAGCUCCUUUUUUGUCACUCACAUUUGAGGAUGCCACAGAAUACCAAGUCUCGCAGGAAGUCCCACUUCUUGGCUCCCAUGUCAUAGAGCCCCACGCCUCCGUCCAUGAAGCAGCAGACGGCGUGGCCCGGAGGCAGAGAGAAGGAGCGGUUCUGCGACAGGGUCGGGGGAGGGACCGCCUCACUGGUGGAACUGGUGUACUAACUCUUACUGGGGGAGCAGGAGCUCUGAGCUGCAGAGAGAAGAGGGCUGUGACACAAAGUCACCUGUGGAAAGCGUUAGCCGGAUCCAGGAUUUUAACAACAGAACCUGAUGCAGGCUGAAACAGAUGAGCUGCAGCUGUAAUCCUCUCAUUUACUAAAGACGGUACCUUUCUUGGCCAGUGGGGAGUUGAGGACAUGCAAAGCGUGAAAUCCCAUCUUUUUCAGCUUAAAGCUGUCCAGCGGAGUCGAGCGAGACACGUUCCACACUCUCAGCACGCCGACCUGCGAGUCUGAGGGACAGAAACUGUCAGGAUCUGUGUCGUGGAUGAGAGAAGGAGGACCCAAACGCUGGACUCACAGGGGAAUGACACUUGUUGUAAGAUCACAGACCUCCAGACGUCCACACACUCCAAGCCCGUAUUGGUCGGGCUGAAACACCGACAGGCUCCCGUCUGUGUGUCCAAACACCAGUUUCCCCUUCUUGGUGGGGUACCAUCUGAAGAGACAGAUGUCAGACAGGAAGGAGUGGGCUUCUUUAUGCACCGUGACCCCAGGAUCGGGACCUCGGUAGACCCAGAUGUACAGCGGACCGCGCUGGGAGACGAACGCCACUCCGUCGGCCGAGUUCCAGCACCAACUGACUGACACAGGGACGCCUGAGAAACAGGAAGAGGCUGUGAGGCUUUACAGAUUCUGUGCAGAAACAACCCGGCGUGGAUGAUCCAGCUACCUUUAGUGUUGUCGAGUCGCGCCACCGCCUUUUUCUCUGCUACGUUCCACACGAUGAGGAGGUUAUCUGCUGAGGCUGAAGCAAACAGGGCUGUUUGAUGACGAUUUGGACUCCUCUGGGAGAUGACGACACACCCACAUCUGUUCCAUACUGCAGCCAUGGAUGGUGUUACGGCUCUGAGUCAGAUUUGGGGCAUCAGACGCACACACUGGAAAACCAGCACCUGGACUUCAUGCAGGAGAGACGGCCUCAGCACAAGUGCCAUAGAUCAUUAGAGGAGAGGGAUUAAGGGACUCUGACCCGAAGGAUGGAGAGCCGGUCCAGACCACCUGUACAGGGGUAACUGGGAUCUAACAACUGCAAACAGA